AAUAAUAACAAAAAUCGCCCCCAUUUCUCUUCGCGACCUGGUUUCUCUGCUAAUCUGCUCGUCGCCUCCAUUGACGUUCCCCGGGUGGGCUUCAAACUUUCCUUGAGAAAAUCCCCAAGCUACCCCACCAAAGGAUCGCUCUCUUCCUCUCUACGAACCCUAGUUCCCUCUCUUUCCUGAAAUCGGCAAAAUUUCGUCAAUUCUAUCGAGAGGAAAUAUAUUCAUAUAUAAAUGGAGAGGAUUAUAGGAAAUAAAUACAAGCUGGGUCGUAAAAUUGGAAGCGGAUCAUUCGGUGAAAUCUACAUAGCCAGCCAUAUCAGCAGUGGUGAAAUAGUAGCCGUGAAGAUUGAAAACAACAAAACAAAGCAUCCGCAAUUGAUGUAUGAAGCCAAAUUGUAUAGUAUUCUUCAGGGGGCGAGUGGUAUUGCAAGCAUGAGAUGGUGUGGGGUAGAUGGGGAUGAUAGUGCACUAGUAAUGGAUUUGCUGGGACCAAGUAUGGAAGACCUAUUUGUUUACUGUGGGAGGAAAUUUUCACUCAAGACGGUAUUGAUGUUGGCUGAUCAGAUGAUUUCAAAAAUAGAAUAUUUGCAUUCUAAGGGGUUUUUGCAUAGAGACAUCAAACCAGAUAACUUCGUCAUGGGUCUUGGAAGGAAAGCUAAUCAGGUCUAUGUCAUUGAUUUUGGACUAGCAAAAAGAUUUAGGGACUCAACGACAAAUCGCCAUAUUCCUUACAGAGAAAAUAAAAACCUAACAGGGACUGCACGCUAUGCAAGUUGCAAUACUCAUCUUGGAAUUGAGCAAAGCCGUCGGGAUGAUUUGGAGUCUCUUGGCUACGUUCUUUUGUACUUUUUGAGAGGAAGCCUUCCAUGGCAGGGUCUGAAAGCAGCAACAAAGAAGCAAAAAUAUGACAAAAUAUGUGAAAAGAAGUUAUCAACUCCAAUUGAGGUCCUCUGCAAGUCACAUCCUGUAGAGUUUGCAUCCUACUUCCAUUAUUGCCACUCCUUAACAUUUGAUCAGCGACCUGAUUAUGGAUUUCUGAAGCGGCUAUUUCGGGACUUGUUUUCUCGGGAAGGAUAUGAGCUUGAUUACAUUUUUGACUGGACCAUUCUAAAAUAUCAGCAGACACUUGCAAAGAAACAAGCCCAAUCGUCGGGCUUGCAGCCAGUUUCUGGAGUUACUAGUAGUCGAACUGUGGCUGUGGAUCUGGAUAAGCAUAAAGGCGCCAAUGGCAAAUUGUAUUCAGCUGAAGUUACAGAGUAUAGAGGAUCAAAGAAUGCUGUUCGCCCUGAUGUUCAUAUGCAGACCAGAUCAUCUCAGAAAUUAGGCACUGAUAAUCCAAUUGACAAACGUAUUGUGACUGAUACAACAAUGCCAUCUACUUCAUCUGCUCUGCCCAGUUCCUUUGGAAGAAAUGUUAAGAAACUAGAGGGUUUGAAUGAAGCUUCAACCAUUGGUCGCAGUUUUGGGAACAAAACUGGUGUCAGCACCUUGAUGAGAAUUUCUUCAGCAAAGUAAUUGCUACACAUUUGUUUGACAGAAUCUGGAUGGGAUGUUGAUAUCAUGAAGUUCAGAAUGCUUGAUUGCUUCAGAAUCUCGAUUUGCUCAAUGCAUCAUUCACAAGUUUGAAUCUAGGUACCUGGGUCCUUCACUAUAUGAAAAAAACAGUACAGUACUCUAGUGUUACAGAUUUUCUGUACUUAUGGUUUGUUAGAUGCCCAUCUUCCAGUCAGUGUGUGGAUUCCGGAAUCCUCUAGUCCUUCCUGAGGGUUAAAGAUGGUGUGAAUGAGCCAAAGCUAUGAAAGUAGACUCCAAUGAGGCAUAAGCUUCUGUUUCUUCUUUCUGAUUGGCUUCAUGAACUUGUAUCCUUUUGAUGUCAAGUGCAGCCGUGGGGUGAAUCGACCGGCGUGAUCUGUUCUUUUGGUGUAUCCAUUGCUCAAUUGAAGCUCUCUUAGGCAGAUUAGAGGUCACUGUUUCGGUAUCGGCUGGUCCUUAUAAUUUUUAUUUGGAUGUAUAAAUUUAAUGUUUCAUUUGGUUAUUUGCCUAAGUUAUAUUUUUAUUCUAAGAAAAGAGCAAUAAUUGGUUAGGUAAUGAAAGAAAAAAAAAAUAAAGUUUAAUAGCCAAAGAAAAACAAAAAUAAAGUUUAAUUCUUAGUAUAA